GUGGGUCACUGUUGCUUCCCAGGUGGAGGGGGGGGAUGGAGGGGAGGUUGGCACAGUGCAAAUGCACUGACCAAUCUCAUCAGGCUGAGCCAAUCCUGCUGGUGCCUUUGCACUCUGCCAACCUCCCAAUCACCUCCCCAAUCCUUCUCAUGAAGCAACAGCAACCCA